GGGAUAGAAUUCCAGGAGUAGCGGUGAAAUGCGUAGAUAUCUGGAGGAAUACCAAAGGCGAAGGCAGUCCCCUGGUCCGAUACUGACACUGAGGUACGAAAGCGUGGGGAGCAAACAGGAUUAGAUACCCUGGUAGUCCACGCCCUAAACGAUGUCGAUUUGCCAUUGGAAGGACCCCUUUUCCUUUCAGUGACGUAGCUAACGCGUUAAAUCGACCGCCUGGGAAGUACGACCGCAAGGUUAAAACUCAAAGGAAUUGACGGGGACCUGAACAAGCGGUGAAUGAUGUGGAUUAAUUCGAUGCUACGCGAAGAACCUUACCUACCUUUGACAUGGCCAAAGUUCUACCGAGAGGCGGAAGUACUCGUAAGAGGAUUGGCGCACAGGUGCUGCAUGGUUGUCGUCAGUUCGUGUCGUGAGAUGUUGGGUUCAGUCCCGCAACGAACGCAACCCUUAUCUUUAAUUGCUCCUAUUUUAACAGGCACUUUAAAGAAACUGCCAAUGAUAAGUUGGAGGAAGGUGGGGAUCACGUCAAGUCCGCAUGGCCUUUAUAGGUAGGGCUUCACACGUCAUACAAUGGUUAGAACAAAGAGCUGCAAAUUCGUAAGAAGGAGCCAAUCUCACAAACCUAACCUCAGUUCGAAUUGCGGUCUGCAACUCGAGCGCAUGAAGCCGGAAUCGCUAGUAAUCGUGGAUCAGAAUGCCACGGUGAAUACGUUCUUAGGUCUU
rnacentral:rRNA from 1 species